AUGAGCGACGACGUGAUAUGGCACUGCAUCCGCCACAACCACUGCAGCUUCAUGGCCAAGAUCGAGACGGGGAUAUUCUGCCGGAACCCCUACAACGCCACCGGCAUAUGCAACCGGAGCUCCUGCCCGCUCGCCAACAGCCGCUACGCCACCAUCCGGGACCACGACGGUGUAUUCUACUUAUACAUGAAAACUGCUGAAAGGGCUCAUCUGCCAAAAAAAUUAUGGGAGAGAGUCAAACUACCCAGGAACUAUGAGAAGGCAAUGGAAAUCAUCAACAAGCAUCUUGAAUUUUGGCCCAAGCUACUUGUGCACAAGAUCAAACAGCGUCUGACAAAAAUGACUCAGUAUCGGAUAAGAAUGAGGAGACUCCAACUUAAAGUGAGAGAGAAGAUAAUGACAGUUCCCAGGAAGAAAACUCAGCGUGAUCUCCGAAGAUUGGAGAAAGCUGAAAAGGCUGCUCAACUAGAUAAGAGUAUUGAAAGUGAGCUAAAGGAACGUCUGAGGAAAGGUGUUUAUGGUGAAAUAUAUAAUUUCCCCUUCAAGCAGUUUGAUACCAUCCUUGACAUGGAAAAGGAUGAGUUGGCUACUGAGAUAGAAGAGGAAAAAGAAGGUGAGAUAGAGUAUGUUGAAGGCGAUGAUAUCGAGAUGGGUGACAUGGACGAUAUGGAAGAUUUUGAAGGUUUUGGUGAUGAAGAUGAUGAUGGAGAUGAAGAUGAUGAUUUGGAUGAGCCAGCAACAAAGAAGCCCAAGCUACCAGGCUCCGAUUCAAGGUCAAAGAUUGGGCGGAAGUCUACGAAGGUUAUCACAGAGGUGGAAGAAGACGAGGACAGGGGUAGCAGGCAAAGGACGCGAAUGUGA
rnacentral:rRNA from 1 species